rnacentral:rRNA from 1 species
UACAGAGGGGGCAAGCGUUGUUCGGAAUUACUGGGCGUAAAGGGCGCGUAGGCGGCCCGCUAAGUCGAACGUGAAAUCCCCGGGCUCAACCCGGGAACUGCGUCCGAUACUGGCAGGCUUGAAUCCGGGAGAGGGAUGCGGAAUUCCAGGUGUAGCGGUGAAAUGCGUAGAUAUCUGGAGGAACACCGGUGGCGAAGGCGGCAUCCUGGACCGGCAUUGACGCUGAGGCGCGAAAGCCAGGGGAGCAAAGCGGG